UGGCCUCAAGUUAUUUCUCAGAGUCAGAUUGUUGCAUAGCAUCCAUGUAGGUAAUCAGAUCCUCAUCAUUCUCAUCGAGUUCAAUAGGAUCACUGUCCCGAAUCAAGAAACUGUUAUAUCUAUCCGACUGAUGCGGUACCCUACCAGAUCUUCUUAAAGGUGCCUCAACAAUGAACUUUGGAUUUGAUCUUAUCAAAUCCGAUUCUAUAUUUCUACUGAUCUAUGUUG
rnacentral:lncRNA from 1 species